rnacentral:rRNA from 1 species
UACGUAGGGGGCAAGCGUUGUCCGGAUUUAUUGGGCGUAAAGGGUGCGUAGGCGGCGCGGUAAGUCGGGUGUGAAAUCUCGGAGCUUAACUCCGAAACUGCAUUCGAUACUGCCAUGCUUGAGGACUGGAGAGGAGACUGGAAUUUACGGUGUAGCGGUGAAAUGCGUAGAUAUCGUAAGGAAGACCAGUGGCGAAGGCGGGUCUCUGGACAGUUCCUGACGCUGAGGCACGAAGGCCAGGGGAGCAAACGGG